GGUGUUUGAGUUGUACAAAUUACUGGUACAAAGCAAUUAGUUGGAAUAUACUUAAGUGUCUGUAUUUUAAUGAUUAAUUUAUGGUAGCUAGCAAUCGAGAGUUCGAAUCUCUCACUCACCGCCA
rnacentral:tRNA from 1 species